GGAAAAACAGUACGAAAGGAGAACUAAUAGCGCAUGUGGUCAUUGGAUUUAGAAACUGAUGACUAAGGGAGCAAUUCGCUUUGGGAGGGACCUGCGUCCCAUCAGCUAGUUGGUGAGGUAACGGCUCACCAAGGCUACGACGGGUAGGGGACCUGAGAGGGUGGCCCCCCACAAUGGAACUGAAACACGGUCCAUACACCUACGGGUGGCAGCAGUAGGGAAUAUUGCACAAUGGGCGAAAGCCUGAUGCAGCAACGCCGCGUGUGCGAUGAAGGCCUUCGGGUCGUAAAGCACUUUUCUGGGAGAUGAGAAAGGACAGUAUCCCAGGAAUAAGUCUCGGCUAACUACGUGCUAGCAGCCGCGGUAAUAC
rnacentral:rRNA from 1 species